CCCUUAGAUGUUCUGGGCCGCACGCGCGCUACACUGACGAAGUCAGCGUGCAUGUCCUACGCCGACAGGUGCGGGGAAUCUUGUCAAACUUCGUCGUGAUGGGGAUUGAUUAUUGAAAUUCUUGAUCAUCAACGAGGAAUUCCUAGUAAGCGCAAGUCAGCAGCUUGCGUUGAUUACGUCCCUGCCCUUUGUACACACCGCCCGUCGCUACUACCGAUUGAAUGGUUUAGUGAGAUCUUCGGAUUGGCGCCACUGCGGCUCAGCAAUGGGCUCGGUGGAUGCCGAAAAGUUGAUCAAACUUGAUCAUUUAGAGGAAGUAAAAGUCGUAACA
rnacentral:rRNA from 1 species